CGUCGCCUCCUCCUAGCCCUCCCCGUCCGACCGCUGAGAUUCCAUCUCAUCUCCCGGCGCUGUUCCUAUCCCCAUCUCCUCUCCGCGUGACCCAGAUGAGGAAUCAACGAUGAAGGCAUGCGGGAAGCGCGCAUGGAGGGCACUGCCAAGGCGGCGGCGCUGGGCGUGGAAGCUACCUCUACCGACAACAACACGAAUCAUCAAGCGGCCGCAGCGCUGCCGUCUCAGCUGUCGACGUCCUCUUCUGCGCCCCGGCCACGGAGGACUGCCACAACUGCUGUGGAUUCUCAUCGUCCGUGCAGUGCAAGGACGGGGAUCGUCCUCUUUGUGCAAGGGCAGCACAUCGGGAGCCGGCAAGCCACAACAACUAGCUUGCCUCACCCCUCCACGUCGACGCCCUUCUAUCUGAGCCUGUUGAACGCCGCGGUCAUCUACUACAUGGGAAGAGCUGCGACAUGCUGCUUCACCUCUAAUGGCUUUUUGCACCGGUACUUACCCUUCUUUUGUUGCAUCAGCAUCACUCCCUUCCUGUUCCUGGUCUUGCAAUGAUCAGAUUAACGCAGCAGGGUAGAUACAUAUUGCGAACUGCUUCUACUACCUCGACAGAGUCAGGUUUUUGGUCCCUUUUUUUCUAGAAUACAGAGUUUUACCACUCAAGCUCUGAAUGUCUGAUACUCAUAUGUGGUAAUGUGAUUUUUUGGGGUCCCCUUUUACCACUCAAGUUCUGAAUGUCUGAUACUCAUAUGUGGUAAUGUGAAUAUGUUGACCAUCAUCAUCAUGUAUCAAAAUGAACAGCUAUAACGCCCUCAAGUUUGCUAAUGUAUGUGUUCUCCAUUCAUUUCAUUGAGAAGAUCCAAUGGCCGUGAACAAUUUUUUUAAAAGAAAUGAUUAUAUUAACUUCGAUCGCUAGCAGCUGCCAUUCAUGAGUGUUAUUUGCAUUGGCUUUUUACCGUUCUUGCUAUUUAUUCUUUCAUCCAGGUCAAAAGACUGCAGGCAUGCAGAAUAUAUCUCUGAAGGACCUUGCCAUGACUAUUAUUGUUCGACCGUGCAUGUGUGAACUCCUAGGAUAUGGGAAUUUGGAAGCCAGGAAACAUGGGCACUAUUUCAGCUGGAUUUUGUUGUAGUAGAUCGCCAGGUUAGGCUGAACAAAGGGCAAGUAUUUUAUAGUGUUUUGCCUUCUGUGAAAAGUUGGUGAUCUGAAAUACUGAACAAGUUUGUUACUCUGACAGGAUAGACAAAGAACAUGCUGAAAGAGGGCUCCAUCUAUCGAAUCUGAAAUUCUGAUGUUCGAUUAUGUUUGCUUCUUGUGUUUACGGCGAUUGGUUUACUUGUUUGGAUAGGGAGGGAAAAGGAGUUAAGAGACAAAGAGAAGGCUCAGCACCUCUAUUUGCAUGUCAAAUCUGAGUAGAGAGCUGCAUCAAGUAUCUGAAGGAGAAGACAGAGAAGGAUCCCUACAGGAGUACACUGAAAUACCCACAUUGAACCCUCAAGCUGAGAUGAUCACUUUGUCAUUAGUUAGGAUCCAAACCAAUUGUUUAUAUUGUUCAUGUUAAUCUUUUAUAUACAAUAGUUACUUUUUUAUUAAUUUUACCUCAAGUUAAUUGUAGUUUAUUCAAAUUAGAAGGUCAAUAAAUAUUAGAAACUAAGUUCAAAACUGUAAAUUUCAAUGUGAAGUACAUUUCAGUGGAUUUACUAAGCUAGGCAGGGGCUCUCAUUCCAAACGGUGACUGAGUGAAGGACCAGAAACUUUUCCGGUCACUAAAUGUUCUUUUGUUAAUACUAUCUACCAGUAUAUUGUGCUAAAGGCCAACAAAAGAAACUAAGCACACAGUGGUUGUGCGUCCCUAGAUGGAUAGAUAGUAGUUUUUUUGCAUUAUAUUGAGAAAUGGAAUCUCUGUUGGCUGGAAUAUGCAACGUAAUAGCGUAUACGAUACCACCAUCUCAAAUAAAUUUUGCAUUAAGCGUCAUGUCUAUCAACUCAAAUAAAUUUUGCAUUAAGCAUCAUGUCUUCUCUGUAGCAAUCUCAAUUUGUCAUCUUGUGCUUAUUUGCUUGAAAACAGUAAAUUUGUAAUGCUAUUUGAAGAAACAGACUGCCAUGGGAAGGUAAACAAAUUUGCCAUGGUCUACAUAGUAGGGUCAUGGCAAAGUCACUACCUAAAUAUCAUGGGAAAGUUGCCAUGGUCUACAUGGUAGGGUCAUGGCAAGGUCACUACCUAAUAUGACAUGUUUGAGUGAGUAAACAACUUCUAUGAAUUUUGCCAUGUCAAUGUUUCAAACAUGUGCCGUGUUACUUUACAAAUAUUUCAUGUCGGCAAAUGCACAUCUCCCUAAAAAUGCAACAUUUGAGUAGACAAAAAAUUCUGAAUUUUUGCAUAGGAUUUUUUAAAAAAAUUAGCGCAUCAUCUUACAAAAAUUACCACAUUAUUUAGAACAUUUCUUUAAUUUUGAUAUGGCCUACCACUAACAUUUUCAGAAUUUUGCCAUGUGUAUAAGAAAUCAGGGAUACACAUGGCAAACUUUAACCAAUUUGUCCUAUGAAAAUUUGCCAUUCAUCGGUGAAGCUCCACAUCGGGCAUGUAUGAAUGGAAACAAACAAAGUUUACUAGGAUUUGCGACGGCGGAUGAGUAGACACUGGACCACAUACACAAUAGAAGGAUUGCUAAAAAAUUGCUAUGUGCGGGACGCUGGAUGGCAAAUGAAAAUAAAAGGAAGCACAUAAGACGGGACGAGGAGGGAAACCUUGUAAUGUUGGGGCAUCUGGCUGUUCCCAAGGCCCUUGCGCUUGGUGUGGUGUGGUCGCCGCUAUGGCACCCGUGACGCUCCGACCAGUGCGCACAUGAACGAGUCGCUGCCGCCACCUGAGGAUAUAUGGUGGCUGUUCCUAGCGAGGACCAACAGCAGCUCCCACCACGGCGCAAGCUGACCAACCGGCUGUGCUUGCUCGGCCCUAAAUUUCCGAUUACGACGUCCAGGAUAGCGGCGUGGCUCGGCGUCCACCCUCAGUUCCCGGCCUCGGUCAUGUCGAAGUGUGGUCGCCGAUUCGUCGCCUCAUCAGUACAAGGACCCGGAGGGCGACCACGUGCUCCUCUGCGAGGUCAAGAACAAGGCGGUUUUGAUAUUCUUCGACGAGGACCACCUUGCGCAGGCGCGCGCUGCCAGCCACUGAUGCCGAGCGGCCUACACGCGCCUAGCCCUGCCGCCGCACGUCGAGUCGACACCAGCCAUGGCUGCCACUGGUCCCCUUCGUGGCCGCGUUGUCGCUUUCAGAGGAAGGUGGACGAGUUGCGCGUAGCUUGAGCAGGUCGGGCUCUGGGGGAUUCGUGUUGCGGUGGCCGACGCGAGUAGAUCGGUGUUGCCGCCACAUCUCCUCUGACUCUCUGUCACUGGAAUGGAUAAGAGUAGGGGUUGAACGCCGCGGUCAUCUAUCUGAGCCUGUUGAACGCCGCGGUCAUCUACUACGUGGGAAGAGCUGCGACAUGCUGCUUCACCUCUAAUGGCUUUUUGCACCGGUACUUACCCUUCUUUUGUUGCAUCAGCAUCACUCCCUUCCUGUUCCUGGUCUUGCAAUGAUCAGAUUAACGCAGCAGGGUAGAUACAUAUUGCGAACUGCUUCUACUACCUCGACAGAGUCAGGUUUUUGGUCCCUUUUUUUCUAGAAUACAGAGUUUUACCACUCAAGCUCUGAAUGUCUGAUACUCAUAUGUGGUAAUGUGAUUUUUUAGGGUCCCCUUUUACCACUCAAGUUCUGAAUGUCUGAUACUCAUAUGUGGUAAUGUGAAUAUGUUGACCAUCAUCAUCAUGUAUCAAAAUGAACAGCUAUAACGCCCUCAAGUUUGCUAAUGUAUGUGUUCUCCAUUCAUUUCAUUGAGAAGAUCCAAUGGCCGUGAACAAUUUUUUUAAAAGAAAUGAUUAUAUUAACUUCGAUCGCUAGCAGCU
rnacentral:lncRNA from 1 species